UCCCUGGUAGCUCAGACGGUAAAGCGUCUGCCUGCAAUGCAGGAGACCUGGGUUCGAUCCCUGGGUGGGGAA
rnacentral:tRNA from 1 species